rnacentral:rRNA from 1 species
UACGUAGGGUGCAAGCGUUAUCCGGAAUUAUUGGGCGUAAAGAGCUCGUAGGCGGUUUGUCGCGUCUGCUGUGAAAACCGGAGGCUCAACCUCCGGCCUGCAGUGGGUACGGGCAAACUAGAGUGCGGUAGGGGAGAUUGGAAUUCCUGGUGUAGCGGUGGAAUGCGCAGAUAUCAGGAGGAACACCGAUGGCGAAGGCAGAUCUCUGGGCCGUAACUGACGCUGAGGAGCGAAAGCGUGGGGAGCGAACGGG